rnacentral:rRNA from 1 species
UCGGGAAUUUUGGGCAAUGGGCGCAAGCCUGAUCCAGCCAUGCCGCGUGAGUGAAGAAGGCCUUCGGGUUGUAAAGCUCUUUUACCAGGGACGAUAAUGACGGUACCUGGAGAAUAAGCCCCGGCAAACUUCGUGCCAGCAGCCGCGGUAAUACGAAGGGGGCUAGCGUUGUUCGGAAUUACUGGGCGUAAAGCGCACGUAGGCGGAUUGUUAAGUCAGAGGUGAAAUCCCGGAGCUCAACUUCGGAACUGCCUUUGAUACUGGCAAUCUAGAGUCCGGAAGAGGUUAGUGGAAUUCCCAGUGUAGAGGUGAAAUUCGUAGAUAUUGGGAAGAACACCAGUGGCGAAGGCGGCUAACUGGUCCGGUACUGACGCUGAGGUGCGAAAGCGUGGGGAGCAAACAGGAUUAGAUACCCCUGUAGUCCCUGAGCGGGCUGGCAAGGCGCAU